AGUCCAUGAUGUGGACAUUUCCUUAGCAAGCCUCUAAACCUUUCCUAAGUUUCAUAUAACGACUCACCAUCAUGUUAUCUUAAAAAAGUUAUAUCCAUUCUAAAUUU